GAUGAACGCUGGCGGCAUGCCUAAGACAUGCAAGUCGAACGAGAUGGCCCAUUGAAGAAUGAGUGCUUGCACGAUUUUGGAUUUGGAUCACCAUCUAGUGGCAGACGGGUGAGUAACACGUGGGUGACCUACCUUCAAGUUGGGGAUAACAGUUGGAAACGAUUGCUAAUACCGAAUAAGACAUAUUUGUCAUGGAUAUGUUGAAAGGAGCCUUUAAAGCUUCACUUAAAGAUGGGCCUGCGGCGUAUUAAUUAGUUGGUGGGGUAACGGCUACCAAGAUAGCGAUGCGUAGCCGAACUGAGAGGUUGAGCGGCCACACUGGAACUGAGAUACGGUCCAGACUCCUACGGGAGACAGCAGUGGGGAAUAUUGCACAAUGGGGGAAACCCUGAUGCAGCGACGCCGCGUGGAGGAAGAAGGUCUUCGGGAUUGGUAAAACUCCUAGUUGUUGAGGAAGA
rnacentral:rRNA from 1 species